rnacentral:tRNA from 1 species
GGGGAUGUGGCUCAAGCGCUAGGGCGCUCGCCUGGCAUGCGUGCUGCCUGGGUUCGAUCCUCAGCACCACA